ACAGUAGCUAUUGCAUGACUUUACAUGAAAACACGAACACCCUUACAGUCCAAUUCGAAUAACGUUUAACACUUGAAAACGCUAAAAUUUCAAGUUUUUUGUCAACUUAUAUGAACUCUUGUGCAUUCACGCAACAUUGUUAUGUUUGCAUCGAGUUGCUUAAAUUUUUUAUUUGUAAAAAAAUAUUUAUUUUACUUCCAAAAUAAGUAAGAUCUGCUAAAAGGAAUUAUCUUUUUAUUCCAUCAUUUUCACAAUCAACAUUCUUAAUUUAAUUUAUAAAUUUUAUUUUAUUAAAUAAAUACAUUCUAAUAAUCAGU